GAGCUAUCCUGAGAGGAAGGAUCUGCGCCUGCGCCAAGGCCAGAAAGGCUGAGACAGGGCUCCUAAAUGGAAAGGCACUCUCAGCCAGAUGGAGUUUAGCUGAGUGCAGAGGAUUUAUGAGAACACAAUAGCACAGAUUGCUGAAGGACAGAACGGUCGGAGUGGGACUAGGAGCCUGGAGCGGGGGCGGGGACUUGAACAUUCCAGGCUCUGUGAACUAAGGUAAGUAGGCCUCUCCAUCCUGAUAGCGAGGGAGGCCUCAUCGGGUUUGACCCCGGCAUGCUUUGACACCUUUUGCACAGUUGGAAGAUGCUCUGACUUUAAAGUAGAAAGCAGACUUGACUGAAGCUGAUUGACACAGGUCAAGGGGACUUCAAGGAAGAAAGCCAGCCUUAGACUGACAUCAGAGAACCAAACUCCGGUGUCUAAGCUCAAGGGGCUUUUGAUGAGGAGACCAAAAGGCAGCUCUGAGCACAACCCACCCAAGAGCUUUCCUGAAUUAAUGAGCUAGCUACAGGCUCA
rnacentral:lncRNA from 1 species